rnacentral:lncRNA from 1 species
AGUGUGGCAAAGGUGGCGAAUGCAGCUGGGAGGGCAAGGCCAAUCUCGCAAAAUUAGGUGAAGAUUAUGUUAUUAAUAAUUGAAGGCAGUCAACGUAACCAUGUGUUAUAUGAUUUGCUUAAUUUCUCUUUGUUUUAUACUUGGAAAACUGUAAGCCACGUUCAUCUGUAAUAUAUGAAAAAACAUUAAGAAUAUGAAGAAAUAAAAUCCUGUUU